AGAGUUUGAUCCUGGCUCAGGACGAACGCUGGCGGCGUGCUUAACACAUGCAAGUCGAACGGAAAGGCCCUGCUUUUGUGGGGUGCUCGAGUGGCGAACGGGUGAGUAACACGUGAGUAACCUGCCCUUGACUUUGGGAUAACUUCAGGAAACUGGGGCUAAUACCGGAUAGGAGCUCCUGCUGCAUGGUGGGGGUUGGAAAGUUUCGGCGGUUGGGGAUGGACUCGCGGCUUAUCAGCUUGUUGGUGGGGUAGUGGCUUACCAAGGCUUUGACGGGUAGCCGGCCUGAGAGGGUGACCGGCCACAUUGGGACUGAGAUACGGCCCAGACUCCUACGGGAGGCAGCAGUGGGGAAUAUUGCACAAUGGGCGGAAGCCUGAUGCAGCAACGCCGCGUGCGGGAUGACGGCCUUCGGGUUGUAAACCGCUUUCGCCUGUGACGAAGCGUGAGUGACGGUAAUGGGUAAAGAAGCACCGGCUAACUACGUA
rnacentral:rRNA from 1 species